rnacentral:rRNA from 1 species
UUAACACAUGCAAGUCGAGCGGGCGUAGCAAUACGUCAGCGGCAGACGGGUGAGUAACGCGUGGGAACAUACCUUUUGGUUCGGAACAACACAGGGAAACUUGUGCUAAUACCGGAUAAGCCCUUCCGGGGAAAGAUUUAUCGCCGAAAGAUUGGCCCGCGUCUGAUUAGCUAGUUGGUGAGGUAACGGCUCACCAAGGCGACGAUCAGUAGCUGGUCUGAGAGGAUGAUCAGCCACAUUGGGACUGAGACACGGCCCAAACUCCUACGGGAGGCAGCAGUGGGGAAUAUUGGACAAUGGGCGCAAGCCUGAUCCAGCCAUGCCGCGUGAGUGAUGAAGGCCCUAGGGUUGUAAAGCUCUUUUGUGCGGGAAGAUAAUGACGGUACCGCGAGAAUAAGCCCCGGCUAACUUCGUGCCAGCAGCCGCGGUAAU